rnacentral:tRNA from 1 species
AGCAUAUAUAUAUAUAUAUGCUAAAUUUUUUAGAAUGUAUGUAUUAAAUUAAUUCUUAAUUAAUAUUCCAAUUGAUUCUU